CAGGCGGAGUCUCAACCACUGCGCCACCAGGGAAGCCCUCUGUAUCUAUAAUCGAUCAGCUGAGGUGGUUUUACCUUAAUAUUUGUUUACAAAGAGCAGAAUAUUAAAUCAUUCACUUACAGCCCUCCUGGGGGUAAAAUCAGUUAAAGAAAAAAACACUUUCAUGAAACUGAAAUUUCUUAAAAGGAAAAGGACAGAAUUAUACACUAUAAAAAAGAACACUCCCAACAUCUCAUAAAUUUAUCAAACGAGAGUGACUUAUAACAGGACACAUUUUACUGAAAAGAAUUCUACAUUAUUGAUUUCUAAAAAUACAACAGUGUGAAAGAUAAUAAGAACAGGAGAACAGAGUGGGCUGUAGUUUACUCUUCAGUAUUAUUUUUAAGCUGUCAAAGGCUGGACUACUG